CUGGGCCUCGUGUCCUGCUGCCCGGGGGUCACCGUGCCGGACCCGCAGCGUUACCCCACUUCCAGAGACGUCGGGCGUGCUCUCUUCCGAUCUAAAACGCUGAGAUUUAUGUCCGUCCACCAUGAAAUCGCGGAUGCUUUUGUAAUUAUUAGUCCAGUGCUUCCAGUUUUGAAGCAUACAACGGAUCAGUGAAAGCAACGAAGAAAUCCUGCAAAUUACUUUCUGCCAAGAAAAUCCUUCAGAUGCCACGAGCACUAAGUCACAUUGUUUUUCACAGAGACAAACCUCUGCAUAUGGAAGGUAGCUGCAGGCCAGUGUUAACAUUGGCGAGCCCUCUUGCUGUCUGUGUCACCAAGAAAAGCACAGGAUUGUACUUGUGCUCCAAACUUCUGAUUUUGCUUUUCUCUACCAAGUGCUUUUCACCUGAACUGUUGUAUUGGAAGUCUGCAACAAAUUGAAUUUCAGCAUUGUAAUGAAUGCCCUGACCACAACAGCAGAAGACACAUUUUGUUGAUUAAUCAAAACCACCUUCACACCAUCAUGAAGAACUGGCUUACACUGAGUUGAGCAAGCAAUCAUUUUUACUCUAGUUCUGGUGUAUUUUUUUCACAGUCAAGUACAAGCUUUUUUCAAACCCAGAUACCAGUGGAAGAUGUACUUUUCUUUUUCUUGAAAAGAAAGCUAAUUUGCAAGUAAAUUAUGAAGGGAUUAAAAUUACUGAUGUUAAAAUAAACCAAGAACAUUGUGUCACUUGAGACUUAUGCUUUUAGUUAUUUGCAAUUACAAUUUGCUUUUAUUGUUCAGUAAUAUAUGGUAGGUCUCCCACAUACUUUUGGAAGUUCACCUAGUUUGAUGGAUAUUUUGUCUCUUCACUAAAUAAAAGAAUGAGUAAUAUGAAUAAUGACAAUAUUAAUGUGUGGAAAAAAAAAACCCAACAAAAUCCACUGUAACUACUCUGGAUGAUAAUUACAGGAAACAAUGCCUUAAAGAUGUUGCCAAACCACAACUGCCCCCUUUUACAAGUAAACAAAAGUACCUGCAGAAACUGAGAAUCUGUUUAUUUUACUCUGAUUUCCACAUUUCAAAUACCACAAGUUUUUCUGGACACAGUGUAUACUUAGCAUUUAUACGUCUAUCUGUAUGAACUGCAGUUACAUGACAUGGGAAGACCUACUUCUGGAGCUAACACGAAUUGUUCAAGUCCAGGAGUCAUAUCAAAAGCGAAGUGCUGUACUGUGUGUGCCCCUCAGCUCCAUGCACAUGAAUUCUCAGUUCCUGCUGGGUUUAUUUUUUCAUCUGGAAAAAUAAAAUAGUGUGAACUUUGAUCCUUUGACUCAAGUUUGGAAAGGAUUACUUUUGUUUAGGAUCAUGGCAAUUUUGUUAAAUCAGAGUAUCAAAAACUUGCCCCACUUCUGCACCAUUUAAGGCUAUCUUUGAGGACAGUGCUUUGCCAGGGAGGAAAAUAACAUUAAAUAGUGCAAGUCGGUCCCUAGGCAACUAAUCCCCAAAGAACAGCAUAUAAAAACAUCUGGAAGUAAUUCUGGUGACAUUGAGGUUGGCAGAUAAUGCAGCUGCACUGUGCACCUUUACUGUGAAUGGAUAAUUCACAUCCUGUGAAGCUGUAGGCUGAAAACAUUUCUUAUCUAUGUACUGGCACUAUGAUGUUGAUUAUUCCUUCUUUCCAUGCUGUGU